CUCGCAGGAAGGGGCGGGGCUGCGGCCGAAGCUUCGCGCGCCCGCGGCCCUGUAACCGUCGCUCAGGGUGGUGGUUUAUCGUAGCUCGUCGACGCUCGGCUCGGCUCGGCUCGGCCCGGCCCGGCUGUGCCAGGCCAGGUGGGGGCGGCCGCCCAGGAUUCUUUUGGAAAAUGCCAAACAGAAGAUUUGCGGUUGGUGAGGUGGUGAUGGGUCGUUGGCCAGGAAGUGUCCUCUAUUAUGAAGUACAAAUAACUAGCUAUAAUGACCUCACUCACUUUUACACUGUUCAGUACAAAGAUGGAACUGAGCUUGAGUUGAGGGAAAGCGAUAUAAGGUCUGUGUCAUCAUUUAAACCUCGAAAAAGCAAUUCUUCCUCAAGUUCUCCUUCCAGACGCAGUGGUAGCAGAUCCAGAUCUCGUUCUCCUGGUCGAUCAGCAAAAGGCAAACGUCGUUCUUCCUCCCAAAGCAGAGAAUCUAGGGAUGAGAAAAAGAAAACAGUUCGGGAAACUAACUUAACUCUUCUGAAACUGAAUGAGAACAACACUAGCAGGUACAAUGGUGAACCUGAUAGUACAGAAAGGAAUGACACUUCCUACAAAAUAUUACAGAAAGUUGAAUCAGAGCUAGAAAUUGGGCAUGUGCUUGACCAGUAUACCUUACAUCCAAGAAGACACAAGAAGAAGGAAGAAAUAUUUUUGGAAGAGAGAGUUUUUGAGACAGCAAAAACUACUGAAAAAGUAUCAACACAAACAAAGGAGCUAGAGUUUGGUGGAAGAAUUGGGGCCUUUUGCAUGAUAUUUUUCCUGCCUGCCACUGUAUUUUAUUUGCUGUUGAAGUGCAAACAGGAAGACCCUAGUGUUAUGAACUUCCCUCCUUUGCCAGCAUUUGAUAGUUUAUGGGAGACCAGAGUGUUCGGUGUCUUUCUUCUGUGGUUCUUUCUUCAAGCUCUGUUUUCCUUACUGCCAGUUGGAAAGGUUGUAGAAGGAAUGCCACUUUUGAAUGGAAGAAGACUACAGUACAGAAUAAAUGGAUUUUAUGCUUUUGUCCUGACUGCUGCCGCUGUUGGAAAUUCUUUAUAUUUUGAAAUUGAGCUUCAUUAUUUAUAUGACCAUUUCCUGCAGUUUGCAGUCUCUGCUGCAAUUUUUUCUGUGUUGUUGAGCAUUUAUCUCUAUGCCCUGUCCCUGAAAGCACCUAAGGAAGAACUGUCACCUGGUGGAAAUUCUGGGAACUUUGUUUAUGACUUGUUCAUUGGACGUGAAUUAAACCCUCGCAUUGGAAAUUUUGACCUCAAAUACUUCUGUGAGUUGCGUCCAGGCUUAAUUGGCUGGGUUGUUAUUAACUUGGCAAUGCUGUUGGCUGAGAUGAAGGUACAAGAUCGUAAUGAGCCAUCUUUGUCAAUGAUCCUGGUUAAUAGUUUCCAACUUCUCUAUGUGGUGGAUGCUCUUUGGAAUGAGGAAGCUAUCUUGACUACAAUGGACAUUACCCACGAUGGGUUUGGGUUCAUGCUAGCAUUUGGAGAUUUGGUAUGGAUUCCAUUCAUCUACAGUUUACAAGCCUUCUAUUUAGUCAAUCAUCCUACUGAAAUUUCUUGGCUUAUUGCUUCUGCAAUUAUUAUUCUGAAUAUCUUUGGGUAUUACAUUUUCCGUGGUGCAAACUCACAGAAAAAUGCAUUUCGGAGGAAUCCAAAUGAUCCCAAAUUGGCUCGUAAGUAUCUUUUGGCUAACUUAAUGUUCAGUUUUUUACUACUAUCCAUACAAUAUCUCUCAAUUAUGUACUCUAUACAUGCACAUUUUAAAUGUUAUUUUUUACCCUACUUUCUGUACGCAGACUUGAAAUGUAUUCCCACUGCAGCUGGAAAAAGUCUUCUAGUCACAGGCUGGUGGGGCUUGGUUCGUCAUCCUAACUAUCUAGGUGAUAUUAUCAUGGCUCUGGCUUGGUCCCUACCAUGUGGUAAGAUCCUGAAACUAAACUGCUUGCUAUUAAAAACUUGUGCAUGUGUUUUGGCAACUGACUUCCAUUUUCUAAUUUGCCAAUGAUUAUUUAAGAUGCUAGACUGCCUGUAAUUAACAGAAAGUUAAAUUCAGUGUCAUAAACCUGAUUUGACAUCUGGUGUCCCACUAUAUAACCCCUUUGAACCAGGUUUAGAUCUUGGAUAAACUUCUGACUCCUCCUGCUCUACCUAUGCUCUUCUGGGGAUGGCUGACUGGUGAGCCCCUUCUUCAUUCAUUUGUCCUGAGGCUGCCAGCUGGGCUAUGAUAUUUUUACAAAUGGAGCUAGAGAAAGUACUUCUUUAGUAGGCAGAGUUUCCCGCUGCUUAGGGACAGGCAUCCCCAGAUUCGGCAGGAUCUCAAAACAGUACAUCCAAAUGAAUUGAUGUGAGAGCAAACACACAUGAAGGGGGCUAUGUGUUGAACUCCUGUAACUGAGCAUUAUUUUUUUAAACUCCAAAGGUUAUGCGUUAGAAUUAGAAUGCAGCUAAAAUUGAGCAAAUCUUCCACAAUGAAAAAUGUUUCAGUUAAAAAUCCAAACUUCAGAAAGUAUGGAAAUUCAACAUUUAGCUUCAAAUAUAAAUUAUUUCAGCUUUUAAAUAUUUUGACUAUAGUGAAGUUCACCUAAAGAGCACUGUCAGCAGUCUUUCUUAUCUUAAAUUUGGAGAUCUAGAUAGGGAGGAUACUUCACCUUUGCAUUUCCUUGCUUUUUUAUGCCUCUCACAAUACUAUAAUGUUCUCUCAAUGCAUUUUUCUGCCUGAAUCUCCCUAUUGCUUUAGUCUACAGGAAGUGUGCAUCUGUGAGCUUUAAUGCAAAAUUACUCGCUUUAAGCAUUGUAAAAUUUGUCACAUGCGUACAUAAAACAGAGAGAGCAGGUUUCCAAAUUAAAACAUGCCUGCUUCCUUGUACCUGUCCUCCAAAAGCAAACUGUUAGUUCGUAGUAUAGACAAACUGUUAUGGCACAUUUUGCAGGCAAUCUUGGUAUAUCCUAUUAUUGAGUGCUAAGAAGAUGUUCAGUGCUGUACAAAUAGAUGCAAUCUCUUUGAAGAUGCUCACAGGCCAGAGCAGGCACAUGCCAUACAGUUCAGUAUAGAUAAGAUGAUGUGUUUUGUAUAAUGUUUGACCUUAUGGUUGGAACCCGAUACCUGUAUCAUGACUUGUAUUUCAAGGUUUUUACUCUAACUCUGAAUACCAGCAUAUUAUUCUGAGUUUUGCUAUAUGUACAAUGACUUUCCAAUUGUGUUCUACAGGUUUUAAUCAUAUUUUGCCAUAUUUCUACAUGAUUUAUUUCACCUGCUUGCUUAUUCAUCGAGAAGCUCGUGAUGAACAUCAGUGUAAGAAAAAAUAUGGCCUGGCAUGGGAAAGAUACUGUCAACGUGUACCAUACCGUAUAUUUCCUUACAUCUACUAAGGGAAUACGAUUUCCAUCCAGCUCAUUUUUCUUCAAUCACUUGCUGGUUCCCAGCGGUGAGAAGCUAAAAACCAUAGUCCUGCAUUCAGUGAUAAAUGGAAGGUAUUAUAAGGUGUGGUGUGUAGUACGCACUCUGAAGUAAAAUAGCUACAGUGUGUUUGCUCUGAAUUUUGUAAAAUAGCUCUUAAUGUACCAUAGGAUCCAUUGACUGUAUUAUAAAACCUUCACAUUUUUGCUGUACAGUGUUUGAGAAUGUGAGAUACAAUAGCUUUUUUUUUAGGAACAGGGAGAAACUAAAACCAUUUCCAGUAUUUUUUUAAAAAAAUGUUCUUAAGGAUUUUGUAAAGUAAUGUAUUGAUUGUCUCAAAGAUUAAUUGAAGUGUUCAUUUAAAUAUUGUUGGCAAAUAUGCUAUGAAAAUGUAGAAAAUAUGUUCAAUCCAAAGUUUGUGAAUCUGGCAUUACUACUACCUCAAAUGUAGGUUUUGCCUUUUAUACUGUUGCAAAUAGCUAAGUUUUUUCAGUAUUUCUAUUUAAAUCAAUUUUUAUGUGAAUCUUUGUCACAUUCUAAUAUAUUUUUGUAUAUAUUUGACUUUUUUUUAACUAGCAUGUAUAUUUCUUAGCUACUUCUGUCAGUUAUGGUCUUUAUAUCCCAAGAAUGGAAUUCUAUCCCACUGCAAAGGCUUAAUUUUUAUUUGAUUAACUGUAAGUGGGUAAUUUUUAAUAAGGCUGAGAGAGUGCUGAAGUAAUUUUGCAUUAAUGAACCUUGGGGAACUAGUUUUGUCCUGCUUGUCUUUCAGUUGAUAGCUUUUUCCAGAUACUAAAAUUUAGUUAGUCAUUGGUCUUGAAUUUUAAUUGCACUGUGGAGGGAAAUUAGGUACUCCAUAGUCAGGGUUUCUAUCAAACUACAAAUUUUAAAAAUGUUGAAUAGUUGGAUGUUUUAAAAAUAGUGAUAAUUGAAAAGCUAGUGUUUUGGGGUUUUUUUUAAAUGCACUGAGAGUCCUUUUAGUGAAUAUAGCAUAACUUGUUCAACAUGAUCAUGACAGCUUCAGCAGGUCCAGGUGGUUGCUGUUGUAAGGAGAAUAUUUUAACACCAAAUAUUUUGAUUCUUGGAAAAAACAUGUGGUUACAAGUACCACUCUUUUUAGUGAGGUUAAAUUAUGCUACUGAAAAAUAAACUAGCAACCUUUCUACAGUCGGCAUGCUGUUCCUCAGAGACAUGGGUAUAUAUCAACUGCAAUUUGUUCUGUAUGCUCAUAUUUUUGAUGUAAAAUUGAUUCUUAAGUAGAGUUUUAUACAACCUGUAAACUGAAAUAAAAUUGUUUUAAAAGUGA